GUGGGUCUAGUUUAGUGGAAGAGCACGUGCUUAGCAUGCACGAGGUCCUGGGUUCAAUCCCCAGUACCUUUG
rnacentral:tRNA from 1 species